rnacentral:rRNA from 1 species
UACGCAGGCGGCUUGGUAAGACAGAUGUGAAAUCCCCGGGCUUAACCUGGGAACUGCAUUUGUGACUGCCAGGCUCGAGUCUGUCAGAGGGGGUGGAAUUCCACGUGUAGCAGUGAAAUGCGUAGAGAUGUGGAGGAACACCGAUGGCGAAGGCAGCCCCCUGGGAUGAGACUGACGCUCAUGUACGAAAGCGUGGGGAGCAAACAGGAUUAGAUACCCUGGUAGUCCACGCCCUAAACGAUGUCGACUAGUUGUCGGGAAUUUAUUUUCUCGGUAACGCAGCUAACGCGUGAAGUCGACCGCCUGGGGAGUACGGUCGCAAGAUUAAA